rnacentral:rRNA from 1 species
CUCUUUCUCGAUUCAGUGGAUGGUGGUGCAUGGCCGUUCUUAGUUGGUGGAGUGAUCUGUCUGGUUAAUUCCGAUAACGAACGAGACUCUCCCCUGCUAACUAGUCGGUUGGAUCUUGAUCAGUGGGUUGAGUGCCGAGUAACUCUCGCUGUGCGUGGUGUGCGUCUCGUUCCUUACGGUUCGUUGCGUGCUCAUGUGUGGCGUUGGAUGCCUUGGAUCACACUGCACCCCAAGUCCGCCGCUUUGCUAUAACUCUUCUUAGAGGGAUUCACGGCACUGAAGCCGUAAGAGACUGAGAGCAAUAACAGGUCUGUGAUGCCCUUAGAUGCUCUGGGCCGCACGCGCGCUACAAUGCCGGGCACAGCAGGUGUUUCUCCUGCUCCGACAGGAGCGGGUAACCCUCUGAAAGCCAGUGUUCUUGCAAGUGCUUCCUCCCUCGUGGAGUUGCACAGAGGCGUGCUUGGGCCUGGGACUUGCAAUUCUUUCCCACCAACGAGGAAUGCCUAGUAGCGGCGGGUCACUGAGCCCGCUGUGACUCAGUCCCUGCCCUUUGUACACACCGCCCGUCGCUACUACCGAUUGGGUGUACCAGUGAGAGCCUUGGACUGGCGUCCGUUGUUGCUCGCAAGAGUGACAAGCGGGUCCGACGGAAAGAGGUCCGAACUGGUGCACUUAGAGGAAGUAAAAGUCGUAACAAGGUUUCCGUAGGUGAACCUGCGGA